UUGUCUUCUGGUUUCUUCCCUGGCUACAACUACCUUUGUCCAUGUUAAAAAUAAUAACUAGACUGCAUCUAUGGACUGCUUGAUUUUUAUGUUUCAGAAUGUUGCUAGAAACAAAGUAUCGUCGACUUCCAGUUGUAGAUGGCGAGGGAAAGCUGGUUGGGAUUAUUACAAGAGGAAAUGUUGUUAGAGCUGCCCUUCAAAUGAAACGUGCUAGCGAAAUCAAAGCAUGAGAACCAGGAAAACACUCUCACAGGACGAUCAUACUUCCAAUUUUAUCAAUCCCGGUAUUGAAAUUGUGUAUAACAUGUAAAAUUUUGGAUUAUGCAUGUAUAAAACAUCAAAUAUAGAUUCCUCCUCACUAAGAUCAUAUAUAUAUAGAUAGAGAGAGUUAUUGUUGGGACCAAAAUUGAGGACACUUGGAAUACUGAACUCAUAAUCUCAGGUCAUGUUUGAUUCACAAGAUUAAUAGUGAAGUAUUAAUAAUCCUA